rnacentral:rRNA from 1 species
AGAGUUUGAUCAUGGCUCAGGAUAAACGCUGGCGGCGCACAUAAGACAUGCAAGUCGAACGAACUUAACUCAUUCUUUACGAUUGAGAGCGGUUAGUGGCGGACUGGUGAGUAAUACGUAAGCAACCUGCCUAUCAGAGGGGAAUAACAGUGAGAAAUCAUUGCUAAUACCGCAUAUGCUAACAGUAUUGCAUGAUACAGUUAGGAAAGGAGCAAUCCGCUGAUAGAUGGGCUUACGCCUGAUUAGCUAGUUGGUGGGGCAACGGCCUACCAAGGCGACGAUCAGUAGCCGGACUGAGAGGUUGAACGGCCACAUUGGGACUGAGAUACGGCCCAGACUCCUACGGGAGGCAGCAGUCGGGAAUAUUGCGCAAUGGAGGAAACUCUGACGCAGUGACGCCGCGUAUAGGAAGAAGGUUUUCGGAUUGUAAACUAUUGUCGUUAGGGAAGAUAAAAGACUGUACCUAAGGAGGAAGCCCCGGCUAACUAUGUGCCAGCAGCCGCGGUAAUACAUAGGGGGCAAGCGUUAUCCGGAAUUAUUGGGUGUAAAGGGUGCGUAGACGGAGAGACAAGUUGGUUGUGAAAUCCCUCGGCUCAACUGAGGAACUGCAACCAAAACUAUUUCCCUUGAGUGUCGGAGAGAAAAGUGGAAUUCCUAGUGUAGCGGUGAAAUGCGUAGAUAUUAGGAGGAACACCAGUGGCGAAGGCGACUUUCUGGACGAUAACUGACGUUGAGGCACGAAAGUGUGGGGAGCAAACAGGAUUAGAUACCCUGGUAGUCCACACCGUAAACGAUGGAUA